rnacentral:rRNA from 1 species
AAAUUGAAGAGUUUGAUCAUGGCUCAGAUUGAACGCUGGCGGCAGGCCUAACACAUGCAAGUCGAGCGGAAACGACAUUAACAAUCCUUCGGGUGCGCUAAUGGGCGUCGAGCGGCGGACGGGUGAGUAAUGCCUAGGAAAUUGCCUUGAUGUGGGGGAUAACCAUUGGAAACGAUGGCUAAUACCGCAUAAUGCC